GAAAAUGAUGAUAGCUAUUGUCGCCCCAGGCUUAUUUGCAUAUCCUGAUGCAAUAUGGUGAUUGACCUUCUAUCUGAUUC